UUUAUUGAAUAUAAAGAAAAGACGAACAGCUCAGUAACUCUUAUUUUAUUUGAUGUAUUAGGAUUAUAACUAUGUUAAAUUAUAGAUAACAAUAAUACAAUAAGAAUAAGAUCUAUCAGUUAGUUGUUAAGGUAAUGGCUUAACAAGACUAUGACGGAUAACGGUAUUACUUUGUAAUAUUCCGGAGAAGGAGCCUGAGAGAUUGCUACUAAGUCUAAGGAUUGCAGCAGGGGCGAAACUUGACCUAUGAUAUGAUAUUGAGGCAGUUAUGAGUAGUAUUUUUAAUUAUUGUAGUAUUGUAAGUAUAUACUACAAGAUAAAUCGGAGGGCAAAUCGAGUGCCAGCAGCCGCGGUAAUACUUGUUCCGAUAGUGUGUAUGAUGAUUGAUGCAGUUAAAAAGUCUGUAGUUUAUUAUUAAUAAGCAUUGUGAGGUAUAUUGUAUGGUUAGGAGAGAGAUGAAAUGUGAUAACCCUAACUGGAUGAACAGAAGCGAAAGCUAUAUACUUAAAUGUUUUAUUAGAACAAGGACGUAAGCUAGAGGAUCGAAGAUGAUUAGAUACCAUUGUAGUUCUAGCAGUAAACUAUGUUAAAUCAUAGAUACAUUAUUAAUAUGUAUUUAUGUAAAGAAAUUAAGAUUAUAUUGACUCUGGGGAUAGUAUGAUCGCAAGAUUGAAAAUUAAAGAAAUUGACGGAAGAAUACCACAAGGAGUGGAUUGUGCGGC
rnacentral:rRNA from 1 species